GAUGAACGCUGGCCGCGUGUCUAAUAUCUGCACGUCGAGCGAACAGACGAGGAGCUUGCUCCUCUGACGUUAGCGGCGGACGGGUGAGUAACACGUGGAUAAACUACCUAUUAGACUGGGAUUAGUUCGGGAAUCAGGAGCCAAUACCGGAUCAUAUAUUCAACUGCAUGGUUCAUUAGUGCUAGACGGUUUUGCUGUCUGUUAUAGAUGGAUCCGCGCCGCAUUAGUUAGUUCGUAAGGUAACCGCGUACCAAGGCCACGAUUCGUACCCGACCUAGGAGCGUGAACGGCCACACAAGAUCCAAGACACGGUCCAGACGCCCACAGGAUGCAGCAGUAGGGAAUCUUCCGAAAUGGGCGAAAGCCUGACCCAGCAACACCGCGUGAGUGAUCAAGGUCUACGCUUCGUAAAGCUUCUUUAUUAUGAAAAAACAAAUGUCUAAGUAACUAGGCACGUCUUGACGGUACCUAAACAAAAAGCCACGGCUAACUUCGUG
rnacentral:rRNA from 1 species